rnacentral:rRNA from 1 species
UACGUAGGGGGCGAGCGUUGUCCGGAAUCAUUGGGCGUAAAGAGCGUGUAGGCGGCUUGGCAAGUCUGACGUGAAAGCCCGCGGCUCAACCGCGGAUUGUCGUUGGAAACUGCCUCGCUAGAGUCCGGAAGAGGAGAGCGGAAUUCCUGGUGUAGCGGUGAAAUGCGCAGAUAUCAGGAGGAACACCGGUGGCGAAAGCGACGUGCUGGACCUUUUCUGACGCUGAGGCGCGAAAGCCAGGGGAGCAAACGGG